rnacentral:rRNA from 1 species
AGUGAACGCUGGCGGUAGGCCUAACACAUGCAAGUCGAACGGCAGCACAGUAAGAGCUUGCUCUUACGGGUGGCGAGUGGCGGACGGUUGAGGAAUACAUCGGAAUCUACUUUUUCGUGGGGGAUAACGUAGGGAAACUUACGCUAAUACCGCAUACGACCUACGGGUGAAAGCAGGGGAUCUUCGGACCUUGCGCGAUUGAAUGAGCCGAUGUCGGAUUAGCUAGUUGGCGGGGUAAAGGCCCACCAAGGCGACGAUCCGUAGCUGGUCUGAGAGGAUGAUCAGCCACACUGGAACUGAGACACGGUCCAGACUCCUACGGGAGGCAGCAGUGGGGAAUAUUGGACAAUGGGCGCAAGCCUGAUCCAGCCAUACCGCGUGGGUGAAGAAGGCCUUCGGGUUGUAAAGCCCUUUUGUUGGGAAAGAAAAGCAGCAGGUUAAUACCCCGCUGUUCUGACGGUACCCAAAGAAUAAGCACCGGCUAACUUCGUG